rnacentral:rRNA from 1 species
ACGGGGCAUUGCCUCAGUAGCGGCGAGUGAAGCGGCAAGAGCUCAGAUUUGAAAUCGUGCUUUGCGGCACGAGUUGUAGAUUGCAGGUUGGAGUCUGUGUGGAAGGCGGUGUCCAAGUCCCUUGGAACAGGGCGCCCAGGAGGGUGAGAGCCCCGUGGGAUGCCGGCGGAAGCAGUGAGGCCCUUCUGACGAGUCGAGUUGUUUGGGAAUGCAGCUCCAAGCGGGUGGUAAAUUCCAUCUAAGGCUAAAUACUGGCGAGAGACCGAUAGCGAACAAGUACUGUGAAGGAAAGAUGAAAAGCACUUUGAAAAGAGAGUGAAACAGCACGUGAAAUUGUUGAAAGGGAAGGGUAUUGCGCCCGACAUGGGGAUUGCGCACCGCUGCCUCUCGUGGGCGGCGCUCUGGGCUUUCCCUGGGCCAGCAUCGGUUCUUGCUGCAGGAGAAGGGGUUCUGGAACGUGGCUCUUCGGAGUGUUAUAGCCAGGGCCAGAUGCUGCGUGCGGGGACCGAGGACUGCGGCCGUGUAGGUCACGGAUGCUGGCAGAACGGCGCAACACCGCCCGUCUUGAMMMAACGGGACACAAA